rnacentral:rRNA from 1 species
AUUGAACGCUGGCGGCAGGCCUAACACAUGCAAGUCGAACGAGUGGCGGACGGGUGAGUAAUGUCUGGGAAACUGCCUGAUGGAGGGGGAUAACUACUGGAAACGGUAGCUAAUACCGCAUACCAUCGGAUGUGCCCAGAGGGGAUUAGCUAGUAGGUGGGGUAACGGCUCACCUAGGCGACGCUCCCUAGAUGGUCUGAGAGGAUGACCAGCCACACUGGAACUGAGACACGGUCAAGACUCCUACGGGAGGCAGCAGUGGGGAAUAUUGCACAAUGGGCGCAAGCCUUAUGCAGCCAUGCCGCGUGUAUGAAGAAGGCCUUCGGGUUGUAAAGUACUUUCAGCGGGGAGGCGUUACCCGCAGAAGAAGCCACGGCUAACUACGUGCCAGCCGCCGCGGUAAUUC